rnacentral:rRNA from 1 species
GACGAAUGCUGGCUGCGUGCUUAACACAUGCAAGUCGAACGGUGAAAGGGAGCUUGCUCCCUGGAUCAGUGGCGAACGGGUGAGUAACACGUGGGCAACCUGCCCCUCACUCUGGGAUAACUCCGGGAAACCGGGGCUAAUACCGGUACGACCUGGUGCGACAUCGCACCGGGUGGAAAGAACUUCGGUGAGGGAUGGGCCCGCGGCCUAUCAGCUUGUUGGUGGGGUAACGGCCCACCAAGGCGACGACGGGUAGCCGGCCUGAGAGGGCGACCGGCCACACUGGGACUGAGACACGGCCCAGACUCCUACGGGAGGCAGCAGUGGGGAAUAUUGCGCAAUGGGCGAAAGCCUGACGCAGCGACGCAGCGUGAGGGACGAAGGCCUUCGGGUUGUAAACCUCUUUCAGCGGGGACGAAGCGAAAGUGACGGUACCCGCAGAAGAAGCACCGGCUAACUACGUGCCAGCAGCCGCCGUAACAC